AGAAAAAAAAAAAAAAAAAAAGAUGCGAGUCGGCUGACGUUCCGGGCCAAAUAAAAAACCUCUUCCUUCUUUAAUCUGGUGUCUUGAGGAGUUUUGUCUGCGGCUUGUCCUGCUACAUUUCUUGGUUCCCUGACCGGGAAGCGAGGUGAUUAAAGGACGGUCGAGGCAGCCCCUUAGGCAGCUUAUGCCUGCCCUGUAGAGCAUCCCUGCGGGGGACUCUGGCCAGCUUGAGCGAUGCGGAUCCUGAGAGCACUCCCGGGUAGGCAUUUGCCCCGGUGGAGGCAUUUACCUCUUCAGAGCAGUGCACAGCAGGCCCCUGUGGAGGAUCAACACAGUGGCUGAACACCAGGAAGGAACUGGCCCUUUAAGUCCGGACAUCUGAAACUUGGUGUUGUGUCUUGGAUCCACCACAGUCAGUUAACACCGGCAGCUCAGGACAAGUGCACCAGCCAGCAGGAUGCAGAUCAUCCAACCCGGUUGAUCCUGAGACGAGACCAAGCUGCUGCUGAGGAUGAUAGCCCUGUUCUGGUCACUCCGGAGGCUGACCAGUCUACAUACGGCUGCAGCUUGAGGAGACAACAAGCCCUGCUCUAGUCACACACCGGCAGCUGACUAGUCUAUGCACGACCGAAGCUUGAGGACUCAUCAAACAAGUAAAUGUAGUUAAAAAUCUUAAUAGUUUUCCUGCAAUACUGCUUUCCUAUUGUUCUGUCACUGUAUUCAACCUUUUUCCCAGGUAAGGACCUCUUUUGUCCUUGCUGGAUAUGAAUAUGCUGUACAUGGUUUUGUUGUUGUUACCCCCCAUAACCAUGCUAGAAGAAACACCUAGAUGAGGUGUCCCCACUGUACACGUACCACUUAGGAAACCCAGACCUGUUCAGCCCAGCACAAUUCCGAGUCUUGCAGUCAUUCUUUAAACAUACAAACCAGAAGUUACCAGAACCUCCUCCUUUAGCAAAA